AAUGAUCAUGUAAGUUAGUCUUCUGUUUCCUUAUCUGAAAAAAGAGGGGGCUGGUCUUAAUGAGCACUCACUCCCCAGGCUGUCUCACACACCCCCAUUUGCACUUUACAGAUGUGGCCAUGGAUCUCCACAGAGAUGUUAAGGGAAUGUCACAAGCACAGUGAUGCUAAGAGAUGGAGACAGGACACGUGCGGUCACCCUGACAGGAGCCUUUCUAUGCUCUCACCGUGUCUGCAGGGCUUGAAGGGGAGGAGGUCAGCACGGGGAAAAUUGACUACGAGCGGGGUCAAGGCAGAGGCGAGAGCGGGCUUCAUGAGUAAGAAUUUCUAAGUAAAUGAAGAUACUGAAAUGAAGAUGGAGACCAAAAAUGAAGUAUCCAAAAGGAGGCUCUGGGAGGAAAGGUGAGGAAUAAAAUGAUUAACUAGCCUGGGUGGUGGAACUGAGGACAGGGAUGGUUUUCUCUGGUGAAGAAGCCAGAAAUGAAUGGGGAGGCAGCGCAGGGGAGGGAUGAUGUGCACCCUCACCUUACUGGCCAGCCCUCCUGAUGGAAAAAGAGAUAGAUGCACUCACGGAUUUCUCUAUAUUUUUUCAGUUGUGUCCAACUCAUCAUGAGUCUGGGAUUUUCUUGGCAAAGAUACUAGAGGGGUUUGCUCUUGUCUUCUCCAGUUCAUUUUCCAGAUGAGAAAACGGAGGCAAACAGUCCUUGCCCAAGGUCACACUGAGGCUGAACUUGAACUCAGAAGAGGAGGCUUCCUGCCCCCAGGCUGAGCUCCAUCCACAGGCCGCUGGCUGCCCCUCUAUACUAGUAUUACAGAAUAUACUCAUAUAGAUGCGGUUGUCGUGUCCCCGGGGGAGAAAACCACUGGGAGGAGGAGAGAGACCAUAGCCUUGUCUGUGAAUGGGAGGCUGGGGAUAACUUUUCCAGGGACUCCCUCCUCACUGGCAGCACCUCAGCCCAGAGACUGCUCCCGUGAUGCUACCAGUCUGUGUGUGUGUGUGUGUGUGUGUGUGUGUGUGUGUGUGUGUGAUUGUGUGUGUGUGUGGUUGUGUGUGUGUGUGUGAGAUUGUGGGCAUGUGUGCCCAUAUGAUUGUGUGUGUGGCUUAGUCUCCAGGAAAUCCCAUUCCAGAAGAGCCCCACCCCUUUCCCCUUCACCCGCCUCAGGCUCCCUCCGGUCAGCCCUUGCUGUCGGC
rnacentral:lncRNA from 1 species